rnacentral:rRNA from 1 species
UACCCUGGUAGUGCACGCCGUAAACGAUGUCUACUAGUCGUUGGGUCCCUUGAGGACUUAGUGACGCAGCUAACGCAAUAAGUAGACCGCCUGGGGAGUACGGCCGCAAGGUUAAAACUCAAAUGAAUUGACGGGGGCCCGCACAAGCGGUGGAGCAUGUGGUUUAAUUCGAUGCAACGCGAAGAACCUUACCUGGUCUUGACAUAUCUAGAAUCCUGCAGAGAUGCGGGAGUGCCUUCGGGAAUUAGAAUACAGGUGCUGCAUGGCUGUCGUCAGCUCGUGUCGUGAGAUGUUGGGUUAAGUCCCGCAACGAGCGCAACCCUUGUCCUUAGUUACCAGCGGUUUGGCCGGGAACUCUAAGGAUACUGCCAGUGACAAACUGGAGGAAGGCGGGGACGACGUCAAGUCAUCAUGGCCCUUACGACCAGGGCUACACACGUGCUACAAUGGUAGGUACAGAGGGCAGCUACACAGCGAUGUGAUGCGAAUCUCAAAAAGCCUAUCGUAGUCCAGAUUGGAGUCUGCAACUCGACUCCAUGAAGUAGGAAUCGCUAGUAAUCGCGGAUCAGAAUGCCGCGGUGAAUACGUUCCCGGGCCUUGUACACACCGCCCGUCACACCAUGGGARUKGAUUGCACCAGAAGUGGGUAGCCUAACCUUUUAGGAUGKCGCUCACCACRGUGUGGC